GCCAGGCCAGCAUCUCGCAGAGGACAGCUGCACGGGUCUUCCUGCCUUCCUCCAGCCACCUCCAGCCCUACAGGAGAGGACUGGAAACAAAUGUUAUGUGGACAAAAACUAACAUGGUUCCCUGUUAAAAAGACCACACAAACGAUGUCUGUCUUGCUUCAAAGAAAAAACUGAGAACGUCAGUGUCCUGUGGUAUUGCAUGGAGCUGUAAAUUCAUGUAGAGCAGACGGCAGGCAACCUCAUGUGGCCUGGCUUGGAGACCAGG